GACAGAGGUGCCGAGCGUUAGGCGGAAUCACUGGGCUUAAAGCGUGUGUAGGCGGGUCGUUAAGUGUCUUGUGAAAUCCCACCGCUCAACGGUGGAACCGCUGGGCAUACUGGCGAUCUUUGAGCAGUCCAGGGCGAGCGGAACAAGCGGUGGAGCGGUGAAAUGCGUAGAUAUCGCUUUGGAACGCCGACGGUGAACAGCUCGCUGGACUCGGACUGCGCUGAGACACGAAGCCAGGGAGCGAAACGG
rnacentral:rRNA from 1 species